rnacentral:rRNA from 1 species
CCAAUAGCGUAUAUUAAAGUUGUUGCAGUUAAAAAGCUCGUAGUUGAAUUUCGAGACCGGUCUACUGGUCGUGCUUUUGUACGUACUGGUUUAUUGGUUUCUCCUUUCUGACGAACUAUAAUGCCAUUAAUUUGGUGUUAUAGGGAAUCAGGACUGUUACUUUGAAAAAAUUAGAGUGUUUAAAGCAGGCUCACGCUUGAAUACAUUAGCAUGGAAUAACGGAAUAGGACGUUUGAUUCUAUUUUGUUGGUUUCUAGGAUCGACGUAAUGAUUAAUAGGGAUAGUUGGGGGCAUUAGUAUUCAAUUGUCAGAGGUGAAAUUCUUGGAUUUAUUGAAGACUAACUACUGCGAAAGCAUUUGCCAAGGAUGUUUUCAUUAAUCAAGAACGAAAGUUAGGGGAUCGAAGACGAUCAGAUACCGUCGUAGUCUUAACCAUAAACUAUGCCGACUAGGGAUCGGAUGAUGUUAAUUUUUUAAUGACUCAUUCGGCGCCUUACG